rnacentral:lncRNA from 1 species
GACCAUGUGGUAAAAAUGUCUGAUCUUUAUUAACCAUAUACAAUGUACAUAACAGAAGCUUACAACAAAAAACGAGAAACAUCCUCCGACCGUAAAACGUCGAAGGUUCUAAGACCCUCGCACAAUUCUAACAUACGAAUCUGGAAAAAGCCUAAGAUCAUCACAGUAAUCACGAACAAGGAAAUCAACUAAGUCAUCUAUACUACGCGUAGGAUACUUAUGGCGCCACCAGUCAAUUAGAUAACCCCUCGCGUACAAAUCUCCACGCUUGAACGUCACCGGGGUAACGUAACUUCCUUCGACAAAGUUCGAAGGAAGAUCUUCCAACCGAGCAGAACUCACAACCUGCGCAGAAAAUAACAACUUCAAAGCCAACACAAACGACGGAUAAAACCAAAAAGCCAAACGAAGCUUUCGAACCUCCGGAAAACCUUGAAGAAAAGGCUCAGCAACAUCCUCAGAAGCCUCCGCCACCCAGCGUACCCUAUCCCUCUCACCAAAGAUGCGAAGGAUAGGAUAUGGCAACUACAUAAACACAUCAAAUCAUGUCAAAAAAUACAAGCAAAACCUACGAUAAACGAAAAGAAAAACAAAAACCUCCACCUAAGCCGGAGGCCAUGAACCUCGGCGCGCAAGCGACUGGAUAAAUCCAGAUCCUUCGCCAUCAAUAUCAUAUCCAACAAACUCGAACAUAUCCACCAAUCUCAUGUUAGGGAAGGCAACUCGCCAGUACUCCCACAAUUCGCCAGAAACAUAAAUCCCUUUGUAAAAAAUCGAAAGGGGAGUAAUGAAAUGAUCGUGCGCAGGUCCUCCGCCAGAGACCUGCGCAGGAUCAAAGUGUAAAACAAAGGCUUAUCUGAAAACAACUUAAUAUAUUACAUUUUCAACAGUCUUUACAAAUUAAGCAAAACCUCCGGCCUUAAUUACAAAAAAGCGUCACAUGCUUGGACGCAAAAAAGACUAAGAUAAACCUAAAAACUAACAAGCCUCACACCUGAGGCGGAGGAGGAGCAGAAGUCUCGGGCAGCUCUGAAACCUUGGCACCAGAUCCCUCCGGAGCCUUGGCACCAGCAUCACGAGCCUCCGCUUCAGUCCGGGUCGGAGGACGCGCCUCCCUCGGUGGACGCGAAGGACCGGCCUUGUCAACCUUAGCCUCCUUCUUCGCAAUCUCCUACAAAUACCCAUCUUAAGUAAC